rnacentral:rRNA from 1 species
CCUACGGGAGGCAGCAGUGGGGAAUAUUGCACAAUGGGGGAAACCCUGAUGCAGCGACGCCGCGUGAGUGAAGAAGUAAUUCGUUAUGUAAAGCUCUAUCAGCAGGGAAGAAAAUGACGGUACCUGAGCAAGAAGCCCCGGCUAACUACGUGCCAGCAGCCGCGGUAAUACGUAGGGGGCAAGCGUUAUCCGGAUUUACUGGGUGUAAAGGGAGCGUAGACGGUAGUGCAAGUCUGGAGUGAAAGGCGGGGGCUCAACCCCGGGACUGCUCUGGAAACUGUACGGCUGGAGUGCAGGAGAGGUAAGUGGAAUUCCUAGUGUAGCGGUGAAAUGCGUAGAUAUUAGGAGGAACACCAGUGGCGAAGGCGGCUUACUGGACUGUAACUGACGUUGAGGCUCGAAAGCGUGGGGAGCAAACAGGAUUAGAUACCCGAGUAGUC